rnacentral:misc_RNA from 1 species
AAGUCGUAACAAGGUUUCCGUAGGUGAACCUGCGGAAGGAUCAUUACCGAGUGCGGGCUGCCUCCGGGCGCCCCAACCUCCCACCCGUGACUACCUAACACUGUUGCUUCGGCGGGGAGCCCCCCAGGGGCGAGCCGCCGGGGACCACUGAACUUCAUGCCUGAGAGUGAUGCAGUCUGAGCCUGAAUACAAAUCAGUCAAAA